GACGAACGCUGGCGGCGUGCUUAACACAUGCAAGUCGAACGGAAAGGCCCUGCUUUUGUGGGGUGCUCGAGUGGCGAACGGGUGAGUAACACGUGAGUAACCUGCCCUUGACUUUGGGAUAACUUCAGGAAACUGGGGCUAAUACCGGAUAGGAGCUCCUGCUGCAUGGUGGGGGUUGGAAAGUUUCGGCGGUUGGGGAUGGACUCGCGGCUUAUCAGCUUGUUGGUGGGGUAGUGGCUUACCAAGGCUUUGACGGGUAGCCGGCCUGAGAGGGUGACCGGCCACAUUGGGACUGAGAUACGGCCCAGACUCCUACGGGAGGCAGCAGUGGGGAAUAUUGCACAAUGGGCGGAAGCCUGAUGCAGCAACGCCGCGUGCGGGAUGACGGCCUUCAGGUUGUAAACCGCUUUCGCCUGUGACGAAGCGUGAGUGACGGUAAUGGGUAAAGAAGCACCGGCUAACUACGUGC
rnacentral:rRNA from 1 species